CUGGCUCAGAACGAACGCUGGCGGCAUGCCUAACACAUGCAAGUCGAACGAGACCUUCGGGUCUAGUGGCGCACGGGUGCGUAACGCGUGGGAAUCUGCCCUUUGCUUCGGAAUAACAGUUAGAAAUGACUGCUAAUACCGGAUGAUGUCGCAAGACCAAAGAUUUAUCGGCAAAGGAUGAGCCCGCGUAGGAUUAGGUAGUUGGUGGGGUAAAGGCCUACCAAGCCGACGAUCCUUAGCUUGUUUUGAAGAGGGAUGAUCAGCCACACUGGGACUUGAGACACGGGCCCCAGACUUCCUCCGGGGAAGGCAGCAGUGGGGGAAUUAUUGGGCCAAUGGGGCGAAAAGCCCUGAUCCCAGCAAUUGCCCGCGUGAAGUGAUGAAGGCCUUAGGGUUUUAAAGCUCUUUUCCAGGGAUGAUAAUGUCCAGUCCCUGGAGAAUAAGCUCCCGGCUAACUCCGUGCCAGCAGCCGCGGUAAUACGGAGGGAGCUAGCGUUGUUCGGAAUUACUGGGCGUAAAGCGCACGUAGGCGGUACAUCAAGUCAGGGGUGAAAGCCCGGAGCUCAACUCCGGAACUGCCCUUGAAACUAGUGUACUAGAAUCUUGGAGAGGCGGGUGGAAUUCCGAGUGUAGAGGUGAAAUUCGUAGAUAUUCGGAAGAACACCAGUGGCGAAGGCGGCCCGCUGGACAAGUAUUGACGCUGAGGUCGAAAGCGGGGACAAACAGUAUCC
rnacentral:rRNA from 1 species